GUGUAUGUAUUUUACAACUUAAUGAAAUGCAUCUGAAAAUUGGCUCUCAUAAUUUGAUAUUCAAGAUGUUUGUUUUCAUUUACUCAACCUCCCUAAGAAAGAAUGGGGAUGAGUGACACCGAGUUUAUUCUAGUCUGUCCCUUACUAUUCCUCCAGUGUCAUCCUGACAGCUCUAAUUUUGGUUUACAGCAGACACCUGCAGUACUAGAAAGUGCUCUAAUGCUUUACUAGCACCCAUGGAGAGAGAUGACAAACCAUACGGCAGAGCUCUGCCAUGCAGUAGCCUAUGUCUAAACUGUCUAUUGUAUUUUGUCUUUCUGUUGCAUUUAACAAGAUUAUGAAUUUUAUUUGUUCAGGUUUAUAAAUGUCCGAGUUAGCACAACAAUGUAAGCUGUGCUUUGGAACAUUUUUAGAGCAAAACAAUAAAUGUGUACAAGCAGAAAACAGUGCAAGGUUAGAUUCUUCCACAUCUAGGUUAGCCUAGCACAGGCUUUAUGCAACAAGGUAACAGAAUCACUGCGAUUUCUGAAGACCGGAUAAGAGUAUUUCUUUAAAUUGUACUAUGAAAAUUCAUGCUUUCCUGUGUAAUUACAGGAGAGAUUUCAAAGAAUGAUGUGAGUUGAAUGGGAAGGAAUUUAAGCCAUUAAAGCUUUAUCUCAUAAGACUCUGAAUAAAAUUACAGGACAGUAGAACUUUUCUAAUUUGCUGAGCCACUCAAUCGAUAAUUUGUACACAAACAGCUCUCAUUCCACUUCAUAGGAAAGAUUUAAUAGCAGAAAACUCCAGCAAGAUCUCAUAACUAAGAAUUAAUUACUUGUACAAAACGUACUACUGAAACUUACUGGCAUACUGUCAUAUCCUAUAAAUAACUAAAACUAAACUGCACUUGUGAAAUAAAUGAACAAAGUGCAUUAAUGUGGUGGUGUAUUCCUGAGUUUUUCCUAACAUUAAUUAACUUACUAGUUUGAAAAAUUCAGUAAUUUGUGAUGUUUCAUUGUAUGCUAGUAUCAGUUCUAAUUUCCAGUGUAGGGUCACUUCUAAACCCCUGAACAUUAGUAGAUUAGUUUGUUUUAAAAGAUGCACAGGAGUGAAUGAACCAUGUCUGAAUUAAUCAUGAUAAGAUGUGCUAUGAUCCUUCCAGGUUAUAUUAUCACAUUCCCACUAAUUUAGGUAUCAACCAAGCAAAUACUAUUCUAUCUUUUCAGUCAAUGUGUUAAAUUAUUUUAGUCUCUGGAAUAUAUUUUGAAAAAAUAUAAGAUGCCCUAUCGAAACACAUUUCUAAAAACUACUAUUUUUAAUGGACAUGGUGUUAAAAUAUCUCUCCAAAACUAUUGAAUUCAAUUCUUUAAAUUUGUGUUCUUUUCCUAUGUUCUGUAACUGCCAUUUUGGGUUCAUUGUAGCUGCUUUUAAAAAUUCACCUUAUCUUAAUGUUGGGCAUUCGCUAGAUGACAUCUUAGCCCUAAUAUCUCAAAAUGUAGUGGUAUCCUCCUCCUGUUUUUAAAUUGCCACCUUGCUUUGGAAUGAGAUGGAAAGAGAGGGAGGACAUCUGGAGCUGUUCUUGUGCCCUACAAGAAAGGUGUUUACUAAUUCUACACAUUCCGAUUCAAUUGGGUUGCAAGGUGGCCUAGCUCUGAAUUUAGACUCCCCCCCCCCCCCCCAAGGGCUUGUCUAUAUUUCAAACACUACCACGGCACAGCUGAAGUGUUGCAGCUGCACCGCUGUGGUGCUUCAGUGUAGACACCAUCUAUGCUGACAGGAGAGGUUCUCCCACUGGUAUAGGUAAUCAUCCACCUCAAGAGGUGGUGGUUAGAUCAAUGGAAGAAUUCUUGUCCACCACACACUGUCUACAUUGGGGUUAGGUUGGCAUAGCUCCAUGUGUUGGCGUGUGGAUUUUGCACACUCCUGAGAGACAUAGCUAUGCCGAUGUAAGUUCUGAGCAUAGACCAGCCAUAAGAUGCCUGACUAAUUCAUCUCUGUUCAGAGGGAAAAGAGAGAGUACAUGCCUAAGUUCCUUCUAAGCUGUGUGGCUGUGCAGCAGCCUAUUAAGCGUCACACAAGCGCUCAGGGUUGCAGGGGGGAGAGAUGCCUCUCCCCUGGCCCCAAAGCAGCCCCAGACCUGCCGUGGCCGAAGGAGGCGUCACGCAUCACCUCCAUAUUGGUGCACAUAACAAAAUUCAUUCCGCACAUACCUCUGAAAAAUUAGAGGGAACACAGGUGCAUGCUGAGUCUUGACUCUCCCAAAAUUACAAAUAAAUUAGACCCAAUAAGCAGCACAUGCGCAGAGGGGAAUUUUUAAUGAAACAGACAAUAGAUUAGAAAGUCCUAUGUAGAAUAUCAUGUAGAAAGUCUGAUUAUCUACAUCAGACUUUCUAAUUGAUGUUCUAUUUCAUUAAAAAUUCCCCUCUUUGCGCAUACAUGGUGCUCAAUGUGCUGUAAGUCUUGGAUCUUAAAUUUAGAAUGUACCUGGAAGAUCACUGCAGUUAGUCACUUUGCAGUACUGCUGACUUUUAGACUGAAAAGCGAAGUGAAACCACAAUGCAAAACCAUGCAAGAAAAGUUCUGGAGCAUCUCAACUUGCAAAAUAUGUAGGCUCCAUGCAGAUGUGGAAUAUGUCUAGCUGAUGUAUAUUUCAGCCACAAAUUUCUGUGAAUGAAUUUAAUCAAAGUGUCAAGUGUCUUUUACCUACAAAUUUGGCUUUCUGCAUUAUGCCAUUUAGAGCUAUUGUCGUGCAAUGUGGUGCCAAGAGCCCUAAUGUGGUUGGGGAAAUACACUUGCUAGCAUCUGGCAGACAGGUUUCAGGGGAGAAAUAACUACUGUUUGUGGGGGAGAGGAUGGAUAUCAAAGUAAAACCGUUUGAAAAGGUUUUAGGUUUCAAAUGCAAACUAAUAGAAUGAUGCAAGAUGAUAGAGUAGUUCUUAUAUUAUCACCUAGAUGGAAUGAAGAAAAGCUCAUGUUAUAUUUUUACCUGGUCUCUCUUGUACAAGGUAAUAUGUUGCCUUGUGUCCUGUGACCUGGACAAUUUAAUCAUGUCAUCUUCUUAAAUUAAUGGCUACAAGUAAAGCUUUUACAGCAGAUUUCAUCUUAUGAUCCCAAUACAUGCACCCUUAACUGAGAACACUUAUUAAUACUAAGUGAGCUAGCUUCCAGCAGUUGAGAUAAUACAGAGUACUUAAAUAUUUCCCUUGAUGCUUUUACUCUUCAGAAGUAGUCCAUCAAGUUACUUUCAGGAACAUUUACUAUUAGUAACAUGAAGCACCGAUAAUCUAUGAAAGUGCAUCUUAUUUAAUUUAGUUUAAUCUUUUCAUUACACCAGGUUCCAGGGAUAGCUAGCUUCCAAGUUGAACAUUUGCAAGGGACAAAAAUGGUGCAAAUGCCACCGUAUUUUUCACUUUUAACUUUCUUCACUUUGUGCCAUUCAAAGGUUUGAAGGGCUGGAAUCCUGUAUCCUACUAGGGGUUCAAGACACUUUCCAUAUUAAGGUUCAGCUUUGAGACUAAAUUGGAAGACCAGUAAAUCAUGUUUGUUAAACUCCAGCAAGUUUUGAAAAAAGUGUUAUCCAUGCUUCAUGCUGUGUGUGCAUUUCCUUUCAUAUUACCAUUUAUCCAGAUAUUGGCAUAUAAAUUAGAGCCUCUUUCCAUAUACUAAAGCUCCUCUUGCUUCAGUGAUGUGACAUGUUUGUUAUCAGUUAUGGCUAUGAUAAUGAGGGUGUCCUCACUGAAUGGACAUUAGUGAGGGCUUUGGGCAGAAGGAAACUGAUUGAUUACAUGGAGGGGGGAGCUCUUUUUAAGCACAUCAUAGCGAUUGGUCAUGACAGAGAAUGUUAGAAAAUGUGUAUUGAUGAAUGAAGUUUCAAGAGCAUUACAUUACGCAGUGAGCUUCAGUUAUACAAAUUACCAGGUUGUAGCAGGUCUCUGGGGGCCCAACUGUUAGCAGAUGUUGGAGCUCUGUACAGAUGUGCCAGUUAAUUCUUAUUGACUGAUUUUGGUAGAUUGGGACAAAGGUUUAGGUUGCCAUGUUUUUUAUUUAUAUGUUGAGCUAAACCUGAAAGAGAGAAGUUUAGACCAGAGAGUAUGUGUAAAUUCUGCAAAGAGCAGGGUGGGGGAAAUCUCUGAUUACACAGACAUUAUUUCAGGAUGUAUUUGUAAUAGCUCUCUAGUUUGGGAGCUGUAACAGUUUAGAUUUGCAAGUAUUGAGUAAAAUUGCAG